GAUGAACGCUGGUGGCGUGCCUAAUACAUGCAAGUCGAGCGAACAGACGAGGAGCUUGCUCCUCUGACGUUAGCGGCGGACGGGUGAGUAACACGUGGAUAACCUAUCUAUAAGACUGGGAUAACUUCGGGAAACCGGAGCUAAUACCGGAUAAUAUCUUGAACCGCAUGGUUCAAUAGUGAAAGACGGUUUUGCUGUCACUUAUAGAUGGAUCCGCGCCGCAUUAGCUAGUUGGUAAGGUAACGGCUUACCAAGGCAACGAUGCGUAGCCGACCUGAGAGGGUGAUCGGCCACACGGGAACUGAGACACGGUCCAGACUCCUACGGGAGGCAGCAGUAGGGAAUCUUCCGCAAGGGGCGAAAGCCUGACGGAGCAACGCCGCGUGAAUGAUGAAGGUCUUCGGAUCGUAAAACUCUGUUAUUAGGGAAGAACAAAUGUGUAAGUAACUAUGCACGUCUUGACGGUACCUAAUCAGAAAGCCACGGCUAGCUACGUG
rnacentral:rRNA from 1 species